GUAGGGAAUAUUGGGCAAUGGAUGCAAGUCUGACCCAGCCAUCCCGCGUGCCGGAAGAAGGCCCUCAGGGUUGUAAACGGCUUUUGACGGUGAAGAAUCGACAGGAUGCGUCCUGUUUUGACGGUAGCCGUUGAAUAAGCACCGGCUAACUCCGUGCCAGCAGCCGCGGUAAUACGGAGGGUGCGAGCGUUGUCCGGAUUUAUUGGGUUUAAAGGGUGCGUAGGCUGGAAGUUCAGUCAGCGGUGAAAAGCUGUCGCUUAACGAUAGGCGUGCCGCAGAUACUUCCUUUCGUGGAUGAGGAGGAGGCCACUGGAACGGAUGGUGUAGCGGUGAAAUGCAUAGAUAUCAUCCAGAACACCGAUUGCGAAGGCAGGUGGCUGUACCUUAAUCGACGCUGAUGCACGAAAGCAUGGGGAGCAAACAGGAUUAGAAACCCCGGUAGUCC
rnacentral:rRNA from 1 species